UGGGGAAUAUUGCACAAUGGGCGCAAGCCUGAUGCAGCCAUGCCGCGUGUAUGAAGAAGGCCUUCGGGUUGUAAAGUACUUUCAGCGGGGAGGAAGGGAGUAAAGUUAAUACCUUUGCUCAUUGACGUUACCCGCAGAAGAAGCACCGGCUAACUCCGUGCCAGCAGCCGCGGUAAUACGGAGGGUGCAAGCGUUAAUCGGAAUUACUGGGCGUAAAGCGCACGCAGGCGGUUUGUUAAGUCAGAUGUGAAAUCCCCGGGCUCAACCUGGGAACUGCAUCUGAUACUGGCAAGCUUGAGUCUCGUAGAGGGAGGUAGGAUUCCAGGUGUAGCGGUGAAAUGCGUAGAGAUCUGGAGGAAUACCGGUGGCGAAGGCGGCCCCCUGGACGAAGACUGACGCUCAGGUGCGAAAGCGUGGGGAGCAAACAGG
rnacentral:rRNA from 1 species